rnacentral:rRNA from 1 species
GACGAACGCUGGCGGCGUGCUUAACACAUGCAAGUCGAACGGAAAGGCCCUGCUUGCAGGGUACUCGAGUGGCGAACGGGUGAGUAACACGUGGGUGAUCUGCCCUGCACUUCGGGAUAAGCCUGGGAAACUGGGUCUAAUACCGGAUAGGAGCCAUUUUUAGUGUGAUGGUUGGAAAGUUUUUUCGGUGUAGGAUGAGCUCGCGGCCUAUCAGCUUGUUGGUGGGGUAAUGGCCUACCAAGGCGGCGACGGGUAGCCGGCCUGAGAGGGUGGACGGCCACAGUGGGACUGAGAUACGGCCCAGACGCCGACGGGAGGCAGCAGUGGGGAAUAUUGCACAAUGGGCGCAAGCCUGAUGCAGCGACGCCGCGUGGGGGAUGACGGCCUUCGGGUUGUAAUCUCCUUUCGCUAGGGACGAAGCUUUUUGUGACGGUACCUAGAUAAGAAGCACCGGCUAACUACGUG